UACGUAGGGGGCAAGCGUUGUUCGGAAUUACUGGGCGUAAAGGGCGCGUAGGCGGCACGGCAAGUCAGGAGUGAAAGGCCUGGGCUCAACCGAGGAACUGCUUUUGAGACUGCCGAGCUAGAGUGCGGAAGGGGCAACUGGAAUUCCCAGUGUAGCGGUGAAAUGCGUAGAUAUUGGGAAGAACACCUGAGGCGAAGGCGGGUUGCUGGGCCGACACUGACGCUGAGGCGCGAAAGCCAGGGGAGCAAACGGG
rnacentral:rRNA from 1 species